rnacentral:misc_RNA from 1 species
AAAAAGCCUAUUUGACUCCCCAACGAUUUAUCCUAUCCUUCUUUUCGUUAGCGGUUCAAAAUUCCUUAUCCAUUUGCUCUAUUCUCUUCUCUUAGAUCUUAGAAAUGGAUCUGGGCGGAAAUGCCCCUUUCUUAUCAUAAAUCUUGUUAUAUAUGAUAUACAUACAAUACAAAUGAACAUCUUUGAGCAAGAAAUCCCCAUUUGAAUGAUUUACAAUCGAUAUAAAUACUCAUACUGAAACUUAUAAAGUCCUCUUUUUUAAGAUCCGAGAAAUUUCAGUACCUAGAUAAAACUUUGUAAUUCGCUUUCCUUCUUUUAAUUGACAUAGACCUCGUUUUCUAAUAAAAUGAGGAUGUUACAUUGGGACUGGUCGGGAUAGCUCAGCUGGUAGAGCAGAGG